GUGAGGAAUAUUGCGCAAUGGAGGCAACUCUGACGCAGCCAUGCCGCGUGCAGGAAGAAGGCGCUACGCGUUGUAAACUGCUUUUAAACGGGAAGAAACCCCAGGACGUGUCCUGGGUUGACGGUACCGGAGGAAUAAGCACUGGCUAACUUCGUGCCAGCAGCCGCGGUAAUACGAAGGGUGCAAGCGUUAUCCGGAUUCAUUGGGUUUAAAGGGUGCGUAGGCGGAGCGUUAAGUCAGUGGUGAAAUCCUGCAGCUUAACUGUAGACUUGCCAUUGAUACUGGCGCGCUUGAGUGCGCUUGAAGUAGGCGGAAUGUGCCGUGUAGCGGUGAAAUGCUUAGAUAUGGCACAGAACACCAAUUGCGAAGGCAGCUCACUAAGGCGAUACUGACGCUGAGGCACGAAAGCGUGGGGAUCGAACAGGAUUAGAUACCCCGGUAGUCC
rnacentral:rRNA from 1 species